UUUUUGGGCAGGACCCCGGUAGCCCCAACUUUUUGGGGGGAGGGUGCCGAGCUUAUGCAUAAUUGGAGCUGACACCCUUGUCAGCGACAAUUCAGAUUUGUGUAGGCCAGGCAAUUUUGCUGGCCUGAUAAGUUUUAGUUUGGGGCUGAAAAGGGGUUGACAAAUCGUCCAGGAAAUCAAUUUCGGUAUUGGGGGUAUGAGUUUGGGUAAGAAAAAGGUCAAACAGCCAUUUAGGAAAUGAAAAAGCAGCCACGCCCACCAUCCGGGCUCCCUUAUCUAGUGUGUGAACAUUUUUCGGGGGUUGAGCGGUGGGUUUGUGUGAACUUUAGCCCCGAAGUACUUUACUUUACUUUCUGUGAAAUGUCAGUGAAAUGUCGGAAUAAAAGUAAUGCUGAUAAAAAUUUUAUAGCUUGUCAGAAAUGUGCAAAAAACAAAAAUAACCGCCCCCGAGGGCUUGCUGUCGCUUUCCCUGUUCCUUCUGUUCUUUAUCAAAAAUGUCGCGACUUUGGUACUUUACUUUAUUGGAAUUUGCAUGGUAACAUCCAAAGUGGCAGGUGAUUUUAGGGGCGUGGCGGGGAGCUUCGCGUCAAAUUUAUGUUAAAUCGAACGCCCAUAAAUGGGUCUGCAGGCUGUUAAAUAACUCCAUCGAUGAUGUGCGCCGUGUGCCCAAGUGGGUUCGGCUAUCUCGCAGUUAGCAGUCGCUUUAAGCCGCUUUAAGGAUUGGCCAAAAGCCUCUGAGUGCCAACUCAGGUGUAUGAGCUCCUGCCACUCGGCACAAUGCUAAGAAUAUGAUCUUAUGUCUUUCCAAUAAUCAAUUAUUAAGCAUAUGCUUAAAAGUA
rnacentral:sRNA from 13 species